CACGUGGUAUCCUGUCUGAAUAUGGGGGGACCAUCCUCCAAGGCUAAAUACUCCUGACUGACCGAUAGUGAACCAGUACCGUGAGGGAAAGGCGAAAAGAACCCCGGCGAGGGGAGUGAAAAAGAACCUGAAACCGUGUACGUACAAGCAGUGGGAGCACCUUCGGGUGUGACUGCGUACCUUUUGUAUAAUGGGUCAGCGACUUAUAUUCUGUAGCAAGGUUAACCGUAUAGGGGAGCCGCAGGGAAACCGAGUCUUAACUGGGCGUUAAGUUGCAGGGUAUAGACCCGAAACCCGGUGAUCUAGCCAUGGGCAGGUUGAAGGUUGGGUAACACUAACUGGAGGACCGAACCGACUAAUGUUGAAAAAUUAGCGGAUGACUUGUGGCUGGGGGUGAAAGGCCAAUCAAACCGGGAGAUAGCUGGUUCUCCCCGAAAGCUAUUUAGGUAGCGCCUCGUGAACUCAUCUUCGGGGGUAGAGCACUGUUUCGGCUAGGGGGUCAUCCCGACUUACCAACCCGAUGCAAACUACGAAUACCGAAGAAUGUUAUCACGGGAGACACACGGCGGGUGCUAACGUCCGUCGUGAAGAGGGAAACAACCCAGAC
rnacentral:rRNA from 2 species